GUAGAGCUGGAGGGGAGCAGAGUGCUCAGGCCAUUACCAUCCCGCUCUCUCCACUGGCUGAGGAUUUUCCCCACUUUUUCUUCCCCUUUUCCCAGCAACCCAAAAGGAACACUUUCUCCCUUCUCUGUUUGUGAUAAAGGGGGACAGUCAGAUUGGAAGAUGACAAAGCAAGGAUGGCAAUGGAAUAUAUACUGCUGUUAAGGAGGAAGGAGUAAUAACAGUUCAUGAGGAAAACAAAACAAAACAAAACAACAAGAAAAUAAAAUGUAAUUCUUGACUCUA